CCUUAGUCCACCUCUUAAAAUCUCGGGACAAGAUUUCUUGUAGUGGAGGAGAAUUGUGACGCCCGGAUAAUUAAGCUACAGUGAACCUUUGCUAAUGAUGCCACGACGCCUCGGUUACUGUCGAUAAACGUGCGUUAGUUUAAGACAGAUUAAAAUUAAAUUUGAAUUAGAGUCAAACGGUGAAAGUUUUCAAAUAUUAAAACUAAAAUGUUCGUGUAAUGCCAAAUAAUGCAUAGGUAAUUAUGGUAGAAAAACUACACCUUUAUAAAAUGUUUGAAUACUUUAAAAUAAAUAAAACAAUAGCUGAAAACAUUUAUUAAAUGCUUUUAAUAAAAUAAACAAAUGCCAACUAUUUAAUUAAUGUACCAAAUUAAUUAUGGUAGUGGCCUAUUUACUAAAUACUAAUUUAGGGGCUAGUGUUAUAUUUUAUAAAACUAAAAAUAAAAUGAAACUAAAAAAAAGAAAACCGAUAAGUUUUAAAAAGAAAAAAACCAAAUAGAAAAGAGAAGGCCCCCCUGUUCCUCUCAGCCACUAGGGCCAAUUGGCAAGGCCAGCCCAACACCUGUUCAUCCCCUUCCUCCCUGUUCAUGCAGCCACCGUGGACGCAGAGCGUCCGUCCACGGCGCCGAUGGCCACGGGGCAGCCAUCCGGCAGCUCCCCGACGCCUACAAGACCUACCCCGCGGCGCCCCGAACCCUAGAUCGCCUCCCCUCCCCGCUCUCGCCCCUCUCCCUCUCGGUUUUCCUCGCGCCCGAGCUACUGUCACCGCGCUCAUCGUCUUCGUCGUCGUCACGGUGUCCACCGGCCAGCGUUCGUCGUUCCAAGGUCUCCAGGAGACGCGCCUCCGUCGUCCACUUCACCUGCGAGGGCAAGUUCGAGCUGAAGGCCCCCGCUCGUCGCCAACGGACGUCGUCCUCAAGCCCGGCCGGCCCUGUUCGGUGGCGGAUUCGUUGCGUCCCGACCUUCCCCGGCCUUCUCGACCUCGCCACCGACCCCCUCCGUGAGCCCAGGGCCGAUUCCCCUCUUUUCCCGUUGAUCUAUCGCCGUAGCAACCGUUGCCCGAGCUCGCGCUCACCCCCGUCCGUCGCGCCCCUGAACAUCCGCGCCCAGCCCGCGCGCCGGCCGGGCCUUGGCCGCGCCCACGUGCCUGCUGCUGUGCCACUACUGUUGCUCGGCUGCCGUGGCUUGCUACCUGCAGCCAGGGACGGAGCUCACGUGUAGGCACUGGUGUCAGUUGACAUCAAUGCCAUUCGAUGCUUCAGCUAAUAGCUUUACCGAUUUGUGCCUUUGACCCCAGCACAAAAGAUCGAUUGACCCCAGCCCACCACAGAACAAAAGCCCAAAGUCUUAGCCCAGUUAGAUAAUUACAAAAUAAAGAAGAAGUAUUGAUCUGUUUGCUAACCUAACACACAGUCCACAAGACCCAAUCUAUCUGGUGCCAAAAAACCCUACUAAUUCCUGGACGCAGCCGGCCGCCAGGUCGCAGUAGGUCAGGACGCACGCCUCUCUCGAGCUAUUCGCUUCCUCCUCAAUUACAUCGAUCCCCAAAUCCUCCACAAUGGUGUACGGCGCUAAUUUUGGUUCGGGGAUGUCCACCCGCCGGCCGCGUCACCCUAAUCUGUAGUCCUGCGAUUAUUGAUUCUCCACUUCGGUUCAUCCCAGUUGCCAAAAUCGAUGAGGAGAUGCUUUUCAGAAAUGAAUAUUGUCAAGAGUGUUUUGCAUAACAAAAUGGGUGACCAGUUCAUGAGUGAUACCCCUGAGUUGCUAUGUGGAUAAUUAUAUAUUUACUAUCACUACGAAUGAUUCCAUGACUGAUUUAUGGAAUACAGAAGAUUAAAGGUCGAGAAGGAAGUUAUAACAUGUGAGUCUCACAUCAUUUUAUAUUUUUGCUUAAUCUUAUUUAUUUUAUGUAUCAUUUGUUCCGUACAUUGUUGUAAAAAUAAUUUAUUUCUUUUAUUUAUUGUUUUCACUAAGUUAGAAAUUAAAUACUCCCAACUUACAUUUUAUUUUUUUUCUUAUUUUUACUGAAUAUGCGAACAACUGAUUACUGUU